rnacentral:lncRNA from 1 species
ACUCCAGGAGAUGGGGAGCCAGACAACAGAAGAGGGGGGUCUGGUAUGGGGAGGCCUCUAACCCUGCUAUCUGACCAGGCUGGGGUCAGGGGCAAGCAGCACCUGGCCAUGCAGGGAAACUGCCACCUUCAGCUCCAUCUGCCCCAGAUUUUUCUCGAAGGUGUGUAUUCAAUCCAAUGAGACGUGAACGCAGGGAGAGCGGGACAACUGUAUGCAGCUCUGACCUGGACGCAGACAAACUCGGAGCAGGAAAAACAGCGUGGGCUGAGCAGAAUUACCACUUGCAAUCCUGAAUCUUACCUAGAAGAAGGCAGAAACUUCCAGAGCGGUACCGCGUGGAAGCCUGGCAUCAGACUGCCCACUGUAGGAAACCUCCCAGCUCCAUCCAGUGCCUACAGGAGCUGGGACACAGUUGCUUCAGCGCCACCUCCCUGAACUUGUUAACCGAGCAAAUCCUCCAGGCUCAGCUCCAGCCGCCAGAUCAGAAGCCCUGGAGGUGGCCCUGCAGUUUCCAAAAGCCCUCGAGGGUUUCCGGAUGUGUUUCUCCGUGGGAAACUUCCACCUUUCAAAGACCAAAAGGGCACCAGAUCUCAUUACCUGAUUGUUAUAAGCCACCAUGUGGUUGCUGGGAAUUGAUUGAACUCUGGACUUCUGAAAGAGCAACAGGGUCUCCAGCUGAACCUGGCAAUCAUCCUUUCAGCUAGACUGAAUGGUCUGACAGCAUUUAAGGUCCUUCUAUCUCUGCUACCCAGGAAUGAGCCAACACAACAGCAUUUUACAAGAGUCUUGGGGAUCAGAGGUUCCCUAAAAUCAGACUCUGUCAUCGGCAAGUGGAGACUGUAACAGACUGGGACCCUCACAUGCCGAUAAGCAGUCAAGAAUAUUUUCUGGGAGCUGGAGAGAUGGGCUCAGCAGUUAAGAACACUGACUGCUCUUCCGGAGGUCCUGUGUUCAAAUCCCAGCAACCACAGGGUAACUCACAACCAUCUGUAAUGAGAUCUGAUGCCCUCUUCGGGUGUGUCUGAAGACAGCUACAGUGUCCUUACAUAUAAUAAAUAAAUAAAUCUUUUUUUUAAAAGAA